UAUUGCUUUCGAGAAAUGAAUAAUUUCUUGGAUAUGCAAUACUGAUGAGUUCAUAAUGAGGACGAAACAAUAUGUUGCUCAUAAGAUGCUAAUAAUAUGGUUUCUUUUUCUAGUGAUCCAUUUGUAUUCCAGAUUCUAUUUUAAUCGUGAUCAAUCAGCAGCCUUGAAUUUGAAGAAAACGCAUUCAACGGACUUGACAAUGACAAGUGGAUAGAUCCUUUUAUAGCAAGAAAUUGGAUGGCUUAAAAUCUAAUUAUUGGUCUAUAAAAAAAAAACAAAACAAGAAGUUUUAUGGUAUAAUCCAAAGCUGCAAAACUUCGACUGGAAUGAAUUGAAUGAAUUGACGAAACAGUGGACUGCCAAGGCAGUUGUGCAUAUAGGUCUCCUGAUGGACCCGUCAGGCCCCACCUGGGGUUACCAGAGCCCAACGGCCUUAGAGAAACUGAUAAGGCUCUCUGGUCUGAAGGACUUAAAGUCGCUUGGUACACUGAAAGUGUUACCCAAGUAUUUGAACCUGGCGCGCGUGAGUGCUGGGCACUCCCCGACUACAUGGUCAACGGUUUCAUCCUCCUCACAGCACCAUCGUCAUUCCGGGUUGUCCGCAAUACCGAUAGUAUGGAGAUGGCUUCUUAAGUGCCAGUGACCGGUUAAAAGACCUGUCACUAGCCGAAAACUUCGACUGAAAUCCGAGGACAAUUAAGAAAAACAUUCAAAGGACUCAAAAAUGGGCAAGAGGAUUCAUCCAAUUGCGACAGGAUUUAAUGCACAGGAAUAAGAAAAUAAUUACACAUUCGAGGGUAGAUGAAUUUGGUAAGAUACCAUUAAUAGCAACUUUCUUGGCGAUUAAGAACAACUAGUUAUCUGAAGCCAACACCAUACCAAGGGUCGUGUCCUACUAAGUCGUUGUUCACCGGUCCCAAGGAACUCACGUCCACAAGAUAUUCGAGAACCGCAAACAGAAUUAAAUUCAUAAAAAUAUAAGAUAGAGAAGGACCAUUCAACUUGGCUUAUUGACUGAAGACCGUUUUUUACUGAGAACGCCUACUGUACAAUAAUUGAGCUCACGGUACAGUUUCUCCGGGAGAACGUAGACCAGAAAAUGUUCCAAAAUAUAACACAUGUAUGUAGUAUAGACGUAUAAAUAUAUGCAUUUGAAAUAAAACGUUUAAUUAUUCAAUUUUUAUGAUAUAUUAAUUUAUGAAUUAUACUAAUUCUAUGAUUAAAUUAAUUAACUUAAAAAAUAUUUAAAAAUAAAUAAAAUAA
rnacentral:lncRNA from 1 species